rnacentral:lncRNA from 1 species
CCCAAUUUCAUUUGCAACAGACAUGUUUUGUGACUUAUAACUUCCUCUACCUCCAGGUCCACAAGAUUCAAUGCCUCAGGCCUCAGCAGACAUUGAUUGCUUCCCACCAUACAUACCUUAAAGGCUUGCUGUAAAAUUUAUACAACCCUAAAUUGGAUAUGUGUAGCAGGUCCUCUGCAUAAAUAAUAAGGCUUCCAGUUUGGUG